UACCAGCACCCCGAGUGGUCGGGACGUUUAUUGGGCGUAAAGAGCUCGUAGGCGGUUUGUCGCGUCUGCUGUGAAAUCCCGAGGCUCAACCUCGGGCCUGCAGUGGGUACGGGCAGACUAGAGUGUGGUAGGGGAGACUGGAAUUCCUGGUGUAGCGGUGGAAUGCGCAGAUAUCAGGAGGAACACCAAUGGCGAAGGCAGGUCUCUGGGCCACAACUGACGCUGAGGAGCGAAAGCGUGGGGAGCGAACAGG
rnacentral:rRNA from 1 species